rnacentral:rRNA from 1 species
UAGGGAAUCUUCCGCAAUGGGCGAAAGCCUGACGGAGCAACGCCGCGUGCGUGAUGAAGGUCUUCGGAUCGUAAAACUCUGUUAUUAGGGAAGAACAAAUGUGUAAGUAACUAUGCACGUCUUGACGGUACCUAAUCAGAAAGCCACGGCUAACUACGUGCCAGCAGCCGCGGUAAUACGUAGGUGGCAAGCGUUAUCCGGAAUUAUUGGGCGUAAAGCGCGCGUAGGCGGUUUUUUAAGUCUGAUGUGAAAGCCCACGGCUCAACCGUGGAGGGUCAUUGGAAACUGGAAAACUUGAGUGCAGAAGAGGAAAGUAGAAUUCCAUGUGUAGCGGUGAAAUGCGCAGAGAUAUGGAGGAACACCAGUGGCGAAGGCGACUUUCUGGUCUGUAACUGACGCUGAUGUGCGAAAGCGUGGGGAUCAAACAGG